ACUGCCAGGAAAGCCUUCUCUCAGAGAGGCCGGAAGGGGCGGGGCUUCGCUUGUGGGCGCCACUGCUGCUUCUUCCCCUCUAGGAAUAUCCUCUCGUUGGCUUUAACCCUUCAGAGGUAGGCAAGAAAUUAGUUUCUCUGAACUUUUUAAGGCAGAAAGGCUGUGUUGUGUCGCUUUCUCUUCCCAUCCCAUUAAAAAGGUUGGCAGAAGCUGGAGCUAACAGCAGGCGCUCACUCCGCUCCCGGGAUUUGAAGGUCUGCAAGUCCAGCAGCUCAGUGCUUUAACGCACUUCGCCACGAGACCCCAGGCAAAGGCCCCAAAGGGGUGCGGGGGGGGGGGGGCGUGGCUCACCAAGUGCCUCCAGACCAGGGAACCCCCAAAAAGAGGGACGGAGAGGAGGAACGGCAGCCUCACGGGGACCCCCAAAACCCCUGAAUGGAAGCAGGGUCCCUCGAGGUCUUCCCAGCCACGAGACCCCAGGCAAAGGCCCCACAAGGUCCAGGGGGGUUCAGCCCCCGGCUUCAGAGAAGUCUCCAUCCCGGGGACAUCAAGUCAAAGAGCUCAGUGCCUGCCUCUGAAGGACUCCGGUGUACAAAGAAAACUGUCCCUGUGGAAGAAGAUAAAAAUGUUUCCAAAAGUCUGGUGGAGAAAGAAUCGCAUCUCAUCACAGCAAGCAGGGAGCCACUUAGCACCCCCCCCCCCAAUUUAUGGCGGGGGACAGGAAAGGGGUCCAGUUUGACCAGCGAGAGACCUGAUCCAACUUCAGGGAACCUCAGAAAGCAAGGAAGAGAAGGGCCCUGAACAUGUAAAUAUGUUCAUAAGUAAAUCAGAGCAUUUAGAGAAAGUAUGUGGAGGGUACAUAGUCUGUUUGUGAAGUUAAUACAGAGGAUAUAUAGAGUGUACCUAGAGUAAUAAUCAUAAUAAACCUUUGUUUUGUUUCUUCUGGA